GUCCAUACAGGUGGCUCCGUGAUUGAUAAUUGGAUAAAUUUCUUAUUUGAUAUCCUAUUAUGGUCUUAGCAACCGUUUUAUUGUUUAAUCGACUCGGUUGUGAAUGUUUCCCCUUUUUAGGAACAUUCAUUGAGCAACAGGCAUUAUCUUCUGCCAUUGGAGAUAGAGACGUCGAGCGUUCUGUAGUAGUAGUUGGUGAUACCAGCAGCAUAGCUCCAAGACCAAUCUCAUUAGGAGGAAUGUAUUUGUUCCUUGCAUAAAUGAGAGUAGCAUCUUCACCACCGUCUGGAUUCCAGAUAGGAUCUUUGUCUGCUUCUCCCAACAAAAGGUGAGAGUUGAAGUCCAUACAGGUGGCUCCGUGACUGAUAAUUGGAUAAAUUUCUUAUUUGAAUUAGGGGAAAAAACAGAGAAGAAAUUGUACAAGCUAGCCAAUGCGAUAGAGAGGAGGGCACGUGACCUGGACCAAGUGACG